UUCCUCUCCUUCUAUCCCUCCUUCCAUCUGGAUGUUGUACUGUUCUAUAAAUUUGAAUGUUGUAUUGUUCUAUCAAUUUUACAUUUUGACUGAAAUAGAGUGUUGUGCUUGUGCAAUUGUGACUUUGUGAGUGAUGUGCAAUUGACAGAAAUUAAGUGUUGUAGUUGAAUGGGUGUUCGGUAGUAGCUCUUAUUGCUACAUAAUUUCUUUGUUAAGUGCUAUGAAUUCAAGUGGUACUCCACUUAAUUGUUCAGUUAUGCAAUCUGAAAAGCUAAUAUUGUUAAGUCUGGAAGGGUUUGGAGCCCAGAGUAUUGUUGUUUUCUUGCAUUGAAUAUUCUUCUGUAUAUACGUUGAUCCGAAAGGUCCCAUUUUUGUAUCAAAUAGACUUUACAAGUCUAGUUUCUUUGCUCUCUGGAGAAUCUGUUUCUCUCUGACUCAUGCUAUUGUAUUUAGCAGUCAAUGGAGCAAUAGGUUGUUAUAUUAUUGAUGAUGGACUUAUCCUUUGUCCUUUCUCGGAUAGCCUUAUGGCAGACAGAAGUGAUGGACCAAUUGGUAGUCUCCCUGAACAUCUCCUUGUAGAAGUAUUCACUCGGUUACCAAUCCGUGAGUGGGUUCAAAUAUCAUGUGUUAGCUUGCAUUGGGCAAGUUUAUUUCAAGGAGAAUACUUGUGGCACGAUAUGACUUUCAGCACAUAAGUGCGACGAUGAUUAUCUAAUUUUUCCAUUAAUUCUUGAACUGCACAUAUGGAUGCAGCCGCUUUUUACUGAGCUUGGAAAAGAACCACCAGCACACUUAUUCCCUCGUCGGCAACAAGUGCAAAUACAGUUUCAGAUCCAAAGUGAUGGAAUGGAUGGUGCUGGAACCAAUGCUGAUCAAUGUGGAGAUCAAUGACACUACUAUUGACUUGGAGCCUUGACCAACAAUUGAUGUUGACAGUGAAGCCGAUGCUGAUCCUAGUAGCGCGGUGAUGUAUUUAUUUUGAUGGAUGAACCUAGUAGCAUAUGGUGAUGUUGACACAAAAUGAUGUCUAGUAUGACUUUUGCGGGUUCUUAUUUGGAUGAAUGCAAUGUGCCAUUGAUGUCAUGCAUUUAAUUGUUGUGCGUAUAUCUUGCAAUUAAAAUACUGAUCUAGAACUAUUUAUUAAAUUUCUGCAGAUCCCAAUUGUGAA